rnacentral:tRNA from 1 species
CAAAACGUAGCUUAAAUUAAAGCAUCCGGCUUACACCCGGAAGAUCUCAUAACAAAUGAUCGUUUUGA